rnacentral:lncRNA from 1 species
GGGUGGGGUAAAUUUAUUCCUUGAAUUUUCGGAUUAGCCCUAAUUGUGGCUGCCAUCGGCUCUGCUUGUAAAAUGUAUAGCAUCGGCGAUAUUGGACAGCCCUGACGGAUUGAUCUAGAAAUUGGGACGUAUCUUGAUUGAAAACCGUUAGUCAUUAAACAAGUUUUAGCAUUUUUUAGUAACAUUUUAACCCAUUCCCGAAAAUUUUCCCCAAA